AUUGAACGCUGGCGGCAUGCCUUACACAUGCAAGUCGAACGGCAGCACGGGUGCUUGCACCUGGUGGCGAGUGGCGAACGGGUGAGUAAUAUAUCGGAACCUACCCAGUAAUGGGGGAUAACUAUCCGAAAAGGAUAGCUAAUACCGCAUACGCCCUAAGGGGGAAAGAGGGGGAUCGCAAGACCUCUUGUUAUUGGAGUGGCCGAUAUCUGAUUAGCUAGUUGGUAGGGUAAAAGCCUACCAAGGCGACGAUCAGUAGCUGGUUUGAGAGAACGACCAGCCACACUGGAACUGAGACACGGUCCAGACUCCUACGGGAGGCAGCAGUGGGGAAUUUUGGACAAUGGGCGCAAGCCUGAUCCAGCAAUGCCGCGUGAGUGAAGAAGGCCCUCGGGUUGUAAAGCUCUUUUGUCAGGGAAGAAAAGGUGAUCUCUAAUACAGGUCACUCAUGACGGUACCUGAAGAAUAAGCACCGGCUAACUACGUGCCAGCAGCCGCGGUAAUACGUAGGGUGCAAGCGUUAAUCGGAAUUACUGGGCGUAAAGCGUGCGCAGGCGGCUAUAUAAGUCAGAUGUGAAAUCCCCGGGCUCAACCUGGGAACUGCAUUUGAGACUGUAUGGCUAGAGUGUGUCAGAGGGGGGUAGAAUUCCACGUGUAGCAGUGAAAUGCGUAGAUAUGUGGAGGAAUACCGAUGGCGAAGGCAGCCCCUGGGAUAACACUGACGCUCAUGCACGAAAGCGUGGGGAGCAAACAGG
rnacentral:rRNA from 1 species